UAUCCCGCAGACACUGUGUUCUUGACGUUUUUGUAAUCCGGAUUUCUCUUUAUCUAUUCAGUAUUCAGUAUUUGUUUU
rnacentral:sRNA from 1 species